UCGACCCUCAAGCUUGGCUUGUAGUUGGACCCUGCGCUGUGGAUCUCCGCGGCGGACAGGUCCGAAAGGCAGCGGCGGUGUCGUGUGAGACCCCAGAUACAACGAGCUCAAUGUGGCACGUAUCUCGGUGGCCCUCCGGCCCGGCCUCGGAUAUAUUGAUUUACCUCAA
rnacentral:misc_RNA from 1 species